GGAUUAGAUACCCUGGUAGUCCACGCCGUAAACGAUGCAUGCUAGGUGUUGCCCGCAAGGGUAGUGCUGUAGUUAACGCGUUAAGCAUGCCACCUGGGGAGUACGUCGGCAACGAUGAAACUCAAAGGAAUUGACGGGGGCCCGCACAAGCGGUGGAGCAUGUGGCUUAAUUCGAUGCAACGCGAAGAACCUUACCCGGGCUAAAUCACGCCGGGCGGUGCUGGAAACAGUGCUUCCCUUCGGGGCUGGCGUGAAGGUGCUGCAUGGCUGUCGUCAGCUCGUGCCG
rnacentral:rRNA from 1 species